UGGACUAUGGUGUAAUGGUAGCACCACAGAUUUUGGUUCUGUUAGUCCCAGUUCGAAUCUGGGUAGUCCAA
rnacentral:tRNA from 1 species